rnacentral:rRNA from 1 species
GACGAACGCUGGCGGCGUGCUUAACACAUGCAAGUCGAACGAUGAACUUGGAGCUUGGUCAGGGGGAUUAGUGGCGAACGGGUGAGUAACACGUGAGUAACCUGCCCUGGACUCUGGGAUAACUGAGAGAGAUCGGAGCUAAUACCGGAUAGGACCUUGCACCGCAGGGUGUGGGGUGAAAAGUUGUGCGGGUUGGGAUGGACUCGCGGCCUAUCAGCUUGUUGGUGGGGUAAUGGCUCACCAAGGCGUCGACGGGUAGCCGGCCUGAGAGGGUGACCGGCCACACUGGGACUGAGACACGGCCCAGACUCCUACGGGAGGCAGCAGUGGGGAGUAUUGCACAAUGGGCGCAAGCCUGAUGCAGCAACGCCGCGUGCGGGAUGACGGCCUUCGGGUUGUAAACCGCUUUUAGUAGGGAAGAAGCCUUCGGGUGACGGUACCUGCAGAAAAAGGACCGGCUAACUACGUGCCAGCCGCCGCCGUAACAC